rnacentral:rRNA from 1 species
UACAGAGGGGGCAAGCGUUGUUCGGAAUUACUGGGCGUAAAGGGCGCGUAGGCGGCCUUCUAAGUCGAACGUGAAAUCCCCGGGCUCAACCUGGGAAUGGCAUUUGGGACUGCAAGGCUGGAGUGCGGCAGAGGAGACUGGAAUUCCUGGUGUAGCAGUGAAAUGCGUAGAUAUCAGGAGGAAUACCGAUGGCGAAGGCAGGUCUCUGGGCUGACACUGACGCUCAUGCACGAAGGCGUGGGGAGCAAACAGG